CCUCCCGUGUGUCGUCGUGGCGUCAGAGAGGUUUGAUUCUGGCUCAGAACGAACGCUGGCGGCAGGUCUUAGGCAUGCAAGUCGAACGGGUGAAGCAGGGGCUUGCCCUUGUGGAUCUAGUGGCGCACGAGUGAGUAACGCGUGGGAAACUGCCCAUUACUGGGGAAUAACGUUUGGAAACGAACGCUAAUACCGCAUACGCCGGAAACGGGAAAGAUUUAUCGGUGAUGGAUGUGCCCGCGUUGGAUUAGCUUGUUGGUGGGGUAACGGCCUACCAAGGCGAUGAUCCAUAGCUGGUCUGAGAGGACGAUCAGCCACGCUGGAACUGAGACACGGUCCAGACUCCUACGGGAGGCAGCAGCUAAGAAUAUUGGUCAAUGGGGGAAACCCUGAAACCCAGCCAUGCCGCGUGAAUGAAGAAGGCCUUCGGGUUGUAAAGUUCUUUUAGUCGUGAAGACGAUGACAGUAGCGACAGAAAAAGCACCGGCUAACUUCGUGCCAGCCGCCGC
rnacentral:rRNA from 1 species